rnacentral:rRNA from 1 species
GAUGAACGCUGGCGGCGUGCCUAAUGCAUGCAAGUCGAGCGAACAGACGAGGAGCUUGCUCCUCUGACGUUAGCGGCGGACGGGUGAGUAACACGUGGAUAACCUACCUAUAAGACUGGGAUAACUUCGGGAAACCGGAGCUAAUACCGUAUAACAUGUUGAACCGCAUGGUUCAACAGUGAAAGACGGUCUUGCUGUCACUUAUAGAUGGAUCCGCGCCGCAUUAGCUAGUUGGUAAGGUAACGGCUUACCAAGGCAACGAUGCGUAGCCGACCUGAGAGGGUGAUCGGCCACACUGGAACUGAGACACGGUCCAGACUCCUACGGGAGGCAGCAGUAGGGAAUCUUCCGCAAUGGGCGAAAGCCUGACGGAGCAACGCCGCGUGAGUGAAGAAGGUCUUCGGAUCGUAAAACUCUGUUAUUAGGGAAGAACAAAUGUGUAAGUAACUAUGCACGUCUUGACGGUACCUAAUCAGAAAGCCACGGCUAACUACGUG